AACCACUGCGAGAGCAGAACGACCCGCGAACCCGUGACACUGCCCCGAGCGUCUCCCCGGGUGCGGGAUCCGUCCCGUUCCCCGGGGGCGCACAACGAACCCCCGGCGCGGACUGCGCCAAGGAAAUCUAACGAGAGAGCACGCUCCCGGUGCCCCGGGACGCGGCGCCUUCUUUCACUGUAUCUAUAACGACUCUCGGCAACGGAUAUCUCGGCUCUCGCAUCGAUGAAGAACGUAGCGAAAUGCGAUACUUGGUGUGAAUUGCAGAAUCCCGUGAACCAUCGAGUCUUUGAACGCAAGUUGCGCCCCAAGCCUUUAGGCCGAGGGCACGUCUGCCUGGGUGUCACGCACCGUUGCCCCACCCCGCCCCCUCCCCGGGGGACCGGCGGUGCGGGCGGAAACUGGCCUCCCGUGCGCUCCCCGCUCGCGGUUGGCCCAAAUCCGAGUCUCCGACGAACGGAGCCGCGGCCAUCGGUGGUGGAAACGCACCUCUCGAGCUCGCGCCGCGCUCCCGUCUCUCCGAUUCGGGACUCAGGGACCCUGAUGCUCCGCGCUAGCGGCGCUCGCAUCGCGACC
rnacentral:rRNA from 1 species